UACGUAGGGUGCAAGCGUUAAUCGGAAUUACUGGGCGUAAAGCGUGCGCAGGCGGUGAUGUAAGACAGAUGUGAAAUCCCCGGGCUCAACCUGGGAACUGCAUUUGUGACUGCAUCGCUGGAGUGCGGCAGAGGGGGAUGGAAUUCCGCGUGUAGCAGUGAAAUGCGUAGAUAUGCGGAGGAACACCGAUGGCGAAGGCAGGUCUCUGGGCUGACACUGACGCUCAUGCACGAAAGCGUGGGGAGCAACAGG
rnacentral:rRNA from 1 species